GAUGAACGCUGGCGGCGUGCUUAACACAUGCAAGUCGAACGGAAAGGCCCUGCGUUUGUGGGGCGGUUGAGUGGCGAACGGGGGAGUAACACGUGAGUAACCUCCCCCUGACUUUGGGAUAACUUCAGGAAACUGGGGCUAAUACCGGAUAGGAUCUCCUGAUGCAUGGUGGGGGUUGGAAAGAUUCGGCGGUUGUGGCUGUACUCGCGGGUUAUCGGCUUCUUGGGCGGGUAGUGGUUGUCCAAGGGUUUGACGGGUAGCCGGCCUGAGAGGGUGAACGGGCACCAGGGGCCUGCGGUACGGACCAGAAUCCAAUGGGACGCAGUAGGCGGGAAUAUUGCACAAUGGGCGCAAGCCUGAUACAGCAACGCUGGGUGCGGGAUACCGGGUUUCGGGGUAUAAACCGCUUUGGCAUGUGAUGAAGAGUGAGUGACGGUAAUGAGUAAAGAAGCACCGGCUAACUACGUG
rnacentral:rRNA from 1 species